UACAGAGGUCCCAAGCGUUGUUCGGAUUCACUGGGCGUAAAGGGUGCGUAGGCGGUGGGGUAAGUUUGAGGUGAAAUCUCCGGGCUCAACCCGGAUAAGCCUUGAAUACUAUCCUGCUAGAGGAUCGGAGGGGAGACUGGAAUUCUCGGUGUAGCAGUGAAAUGCGUAGAUAUCGAGAGGAACACCAGUGGCGAAGGCGAGUCUCUGGACGAUACCUGACGCUGAGGCACGAAAGCCAGGGGAGCAAACGGG
rnacentral:rRNA from 1 species